UCCAUCCAAGUCUCCCUCGCUCAACAUGCACACAAGCUCAUCAUCUCCCAUGUCCUGCAACCCUAGCAGAAUGGUGUUCCUCCUCAAGCUCUCAAAUGUGAUGAGCCCUUUUUCCACGUCCAUCAGCAAGUGAAACCCAUUGCAGAGCUCUACUAUGAAACCCUCGGCCCCCAACCGCUCGAUCAUGGAUGGGAAGUAGUCCUCAAACUGCACUCCGCCCUCAACUUCCAUUUCUGCAACAAUUUGAGCUCGAGGAACAAGAUUUUGAUAGCUUGGGAGUGCUGGUUUGAGAGG
rnacentral:lncRNA from 1 species